rnacentral:rRNA from 1 species
GACGAACGCUGGCGGCGUGCUUAACACAUGCAAGUCGAACGGAAAGGCCCUGCUUUUGUGGGGUGCUCGAGUGGCGAAAGGGUGAGUAACACGUGAGCAACCUGCCCUUGACUUUGGGAUAACUUCAGGAAACUGGGGCUAAUACCGGAUAGGAGCUCCUGCUGCAUGGUGGGGGUUGGAAAGUUUCGGCGGUUGGGGAUGGACUCGCGGCUUAUCAGCUUGUUGGUGGGGUAGUGGCUUACCAAGGCUUUGACGGGUAUACGGCCUGAGAGGGUGACCGGCCACAUUGGGACUGAGAUACGGCCCAGACUCCUACGGGAGGCAGCAGUGGGGAAUAUUGCACAAUGGGCGGAAGCCUGAUGCAGCAACGCCGCGUGCGGGAUGACGGCCUUCGGGUUGUAAACCGCUUUCGCCUGUGACGAAGCGUGAGUGACGGUAAUGGGUAAAGAAGCACCGGCUAACUACGUG